rnacentral:rRNA from 1 species
CCUACGGGGGGCUGCAGUGGGGAAUAUUGGACAAUGGGGGGAACCCUGAUCCAGCCAUGCCGCGUGUGUGAAGAAGGCCCUCGGGUUGUAAAGCACUUUCAGUGAGGAAGAACGCCUGGUGGUUAAUACCCAUCAGGAAAAACAUCACUCACAGAAGAAGCACCGGCUAACUCCGUGCCAGCAGCCGCGGUAAUACGGAGGGUGCGAGCGUUAAUCGGAAUUACUGGGCGUAAAGCGCGCGUAGGUGGCUUGAUAAGCCGGUUGUGAAAGCCCCGGGCUCAACCUGGGAACGGCAUCCGGAACUGUCAAGCUAGAGUGCAGGAGAGGAAGGUAGAAUUCCCGGUGUAGCGGUGAAAUGCGUAGAGAUCGGGAGGAAUACCAGUGGCGAAGGCGGCCUUCUGGACUGACACUGACACUGAGGUGCGAAAGCGUGGGUAGCAAACAGGAUUAGAUACCCGAGUAGUC